rnacentral:rRNA from 1 species
CAUGGGCGAAGCCUGAUGGAGCACGCCGCGUGAGUGAAGAAGGCCUUCGGGUCGUAAAGCUCUGUCCUUGGGGAAGAACCGGUAGGUGAUAGCAAAUGAUCACUACCUGACGGUACCCAUGGAGGAAGCACUGGCUAACUACGUGCCAGCAGCCGCGGUAAUACGA